rnacentral:tRNA from 1 species
GUCUCUGUAGCUCAGUUGGUUAGAGCGCAGCACCGGAAUUACAGGGCCGUAGGUUCAAUUCGUACCAGAGGACC